rnacentral:tRNA from 1 species
AAGAUUAAAUAUAAGUAGGCUUCUAACUUACUAAAAAUGAAAAGUUCAUUUUAAUCUUU